rnacentral:rRNA from 1 species
UACAGAGGUCCCAAGCGUUGUUCGGAUUUACUGGGCGUAAAGGGUGCGUAGGCGGCCUGCUGCGUCGGUGCUGAAAGCGCCCGGCUUAACCGGGCGAGGCGUGCCGAUACGAGCGGGCUGGAGCCUUGGCGAGGGUGGCGGAACUCCUGGUGUAGUGGUGAAAUGCGUAGAGAUCAGGAAGAACACCCGUGGCGCAAGCGGCCACCUGGCCAAGAGCUGACGCUGAGGCACGAGAGCGUGGGGAGCGAACCGG